UUUUAGUUUUUUUUUGUCUUUGGCCUAAGCAUCGAGGCUUCCCUCACCGACUCUCUUCACUUCGUUGUAAUCACAGCACACGUACACACCGCCAUGCUACAUAUCGACUUUUGCAUCGCAGCGGAUGUCCUGGCGGCGCUGGAGGAAUCGGGCAAGCCCAACACUGCCACGGUGGCCGUGCCCAUCAUCAUUGAAAAGGAGGUGCUCAAGUUGCUGGCGCCGCCAGUGUGCUCCAGCGAUGGCGGAUUCGAGUAUGACCUGAACGCGACGCGUAGGCUUCUGGAUGCGAAGGGCGCAACCGCGGCUUACAUUGUGGUGCGCACCGCGCCGAGUACGCAGUAUGUCGUCAUUUACGUGAGCGACGCCACAAGCGCGAAGAAUCGUAUGCUCUACUCCACUGGAUUGUCGCGUGUGGUGGAGGCGACGCCACAUGCGCAGAAGCGUACAGUUCAGAUCUCCUCCGUUAGCGAGCUGCUGCCGACGCUGUUCGAGGCCGAGUCUAAGAAAGUGAGGGAGGCCUUGAUGACCGAGAGUGAACGGCAUCACGCCGCGAUUGCGCGAAUGGAGGUGGCACCGCAGCCGGUGGUGCUCCCCGGCGUGGCCGUCCAAAUAACCACGGAAGCUGAGGACGUGCUGUCGCAGUUUGCAGGCGGCGCGGUGGAGGUGGCCACGUUCAAGAUCGCAGCAGAACAGCUUCAGCUGGACAAGACUGUGGCGCAGCUGAAUGGUAACCUCGAUCAGGUGAAGUCCAUACUGACGGACGCCGACCCCCGCUUCGUGCUGCUGCGCUACCCUUCGCCUAAGACACAUCUCGCGGAAGCUGUCAUGGUGUACGUGUGCCCGCCUACCUGCAGCCCCAAAAUCAAGAUUCAGUACGCAUCCUCGGCCGCCGCCUUCCGUGAGCAGGCCUUGCGCCACAAGAUCCAGCUUGCGCACAAGGUGGAGACGGACACCCCGGCGACGCUUGCGGAGGACGUGCGCAGCGCCUUCGAGCCGUUCCCGCCCGCUGGCGCACGCAAGACUCAGGAUCAAUCGCCGUCAUGUCCCCCGACCUCGUGGGCACCGAAGGGCCACCGCAUGCUCAUUUGACUCGGGCGACUGCUUCUGCUGCACAUCAAAAGCUCCCGGGGUGCGCCGUCCAUCUCUGCUCUCCCGAUUGGCGCGUCCACCUCCUCUUGUUAUAUAUAUAUAUCUGUAUCUCAUCAUAGUGCUUCCUCUCCGUGCAGUGACACCGUCCUCCGUUUUCGCCUCCUCUUUCCUCUUUCUUUUUGAGCUUUCUGGUUGUUGUUUUGCGUGUGACGAGCCGUCGAAGAGGAUUGCUGGUUCUUGCUCCUUUGUUGAGUGUGUGCCGCUGUGCCUUUUACUGGUGCUGUUGGUGUUGAUACGUGUCUUGCUUAUUUUUUUCCCUUUUCCGUUACUGCUGUUGGUUGUGUGUUUUUCUUUUUUCGCUGUUGAUUCCACUCUCUCACGCUUCACUGUCCUUGGUAUCCUCUCAGCCCUAGUUCUGAUGAGUCCAUUGUGCUCUUCCCUUCGCUAUUCCCUUUUCCCUCUUCGUUCGUUGUGCGAGUCCUCAGAGCACCCCGUGGCGCUUCGUUCCGCCUCCUUCGCCGUCGCCGUGUCCGUCCUGGGACCUCUCCGACUGGCAGUGCAGCAGCCGCAGCAGUCGCUGGUUCGCGGACGGACGAGUCAUGUUUUUUUUCCUUUUUUUUGUUUGCUCUCGGUCAUGUCGGUGAAUCGUGUGGGCACACUGCAUACGUAUAUCUCCCCUCCUCUCAGCACCUCUGGACCUUGUUGUCUCUCGCCCAAGACGCAUGAACAAGAGGAGAACACAGGCAUACGGCGACGGCACAUGCUUGGCACCUCUGCCUCCUUUUCUGAGACAGCGGUGCUCUUGUUUCUUUUUCCUCUCCACUCUCUCCCGUUGUUCUCCCCUCCACGGCAUUCGCUCCAG
rnacentral:misc_RNA from 1 species